UACGUAGGGUGCAAGCGUUAAUCGGAAUUACUGGGCGUAAAGCGUGCGCAGGCGGUCUUGCAAGACAGAUGUGAAAUCCCCGGGCUUAACCUGGGAACUGCAUUUGUGACUGCAAGGCUGGAGUGCGGCAGAGGGGGAUGGGAAUUCCGCGGUGUAGCAGUGAAAUGCGUAGAUAUGCGGAGGAACACCGAUGGCGAAGGCAAUCCCCUGGGCCUGCACUGACGCUCAUGCACGAAAGCGUGGGGAGCAAACAGG
rnacentral:rRNA from 1 species